GCCGGGUGUGUAAGCGCAGCGAUGCGUUGAGCUAACCGGUACUAAUGACCCGUGAGGCUUAACCUUACAACGCCAGAAGCGUUCUG
rnacentral:rRNA from 1 species